ensembl:lncRNA
UGGCACAUCAUUGACACAUACUUUCUUGCUUGUCUCUUUUCUGUUUCUUAGUGUCUCAUUCACUAUUUAACUUCCCCUUCCUUCUCUCAGCUAAAUGGGUCUCAGCGUGCAGCGUGUACAUCCCCAUCUGCCAUGCCCUGUGAUGGACGAGUGUUGUUCCUCAAUUUGUCCACACCGUUUCAAUUUCUAACCACCAGCCUUGUAAAAACCCAACACCACCCCUCCCCCUCUCCACCACCCAAAGGGGAACAAGAAGGAAGUCUUCAUUAUAUGAGGGAUAACUUAUAAAAAUCAGCUGCCAACAAAUGAUUUUUUAAUUAGCUUUUAAGGUGUAGUGUUUAGAAAAGUUAUGGCGUUUGUGUGAACUGAGCUGUGAUAAUCUUUAUCUCCUCCUGGCAGCUGCUGGCUCUAAUGGCAGACACCAUGGACACACUUGAAGGCAAGCGGUCUGAUCAGGAACGUGUGUGGAAUGCAAUGCAAAAGGUGGCAGCAGUGAAAGAGAUGCUUUAUCAGCUAGAGGAGACCUACCUUAAGAAGAAGGCACUGAGAGCUACCAAACAGAAGAAAGCCCUGAAAAAGACGUCCCUCAGGAAUCCUGCCGCACCACCACAGGGCCAGUCGAAUGCAGUAGCCGACCCUCAGCCCCAUCAUCCAAUAAGUGAGCAUCUUCCACCUCCCCACAAACACUUAUCUUCUGCCAGGAAGUAGGACACUCCAUCAGGCCACUGCUCCACCCUUGCAGAAAUAAAUGGGCUUUGCGGGUGACCCAUCAUUCAGAUUUGCCUUUUCUCAAAUCAUCGCUUAUUCAUUUUAUGAGUCCCUCCUCAACACAAGAAAAGCCCUGCCUUACAUGAACCUACCCUCUCCUGGGUAUCUAUAUUGGGUUGAUUUCUAGAGAUGAGACAUGAAUAAAACAUUGCCUUUUUUCAUGCAGAUAUAGCACUGAAAAGGGUCUGUUUCACUUAUGUAACCGGUUCAUACUGAAUAUGGAUGAAUAUCAUGAGCACAUUUAUGGGCUAUUUCAUUUUGUUUUUUUUUUUGUUUUUUUUUACAGUUAAGCACAUUUUACUCAGUUUAUUCACUGCAAUCAAUCUCAGUAUUCGCGAUGACCAUCCUCAUCACAUUGUAAAAAUGUUUUGUC